UGUUUUUAAACUCCAUACACCUUCGCUAGAAUCACAUGGAUGAUUUCAGCCCUGAAAUUUCCAAUCUCUACUGAACAAAAGGUAAAAGAUAGCUGUUAACUUGAAAACGACCACUACAUGACAUCACGAGAACAGAGCAUUUUGAGCUUUGG